UAACCGUAGGUGAACCUGCGGUUGGAUCAUUAAAAAGUAAUAAUCCCGUGGAACAGGAUGAGUGGACCGAAAAUGCCUUGCGCUUUUCGAGGACGAAAGUCUCUUGAAGCCUCCUGGUUCUGCGGAUGAAAAUAGGCCCUUACGGGCGAACACCUUUUGUGAACUGUUUCUGUCUCUGGCGGUGGGGUAGAACGCGGGCAACUGCAUCUAUCUGUCAGCUCGGGCAACCGGGCCGUGGACAAACCGCCAACCACUUGCUUGAACCUAGCUUACUAUUUUAUUGUCUGACAUUCUAUUUGUAUAAAAUAUACAAACAACUUUUGGCAACGGAUCUCUUGGCUCUC
rnacentral:misc_RNA from 1 species